UAAGACGAACCGUGCGAACGUUAUUCGGAAUCACUGGGCUUAAAGCGCGUGUAGGUGGCUUGGCACGUCUGUCGCUGAAAUCCCACGGCUCAACCGUGGAACGGGCGUGGAUACGACCAGGCUUGAGGGAUGUAGGGGGAUCGGGAACUUCCGGUGGAGCGGUGAAAUGCGUUGAGAUCGGAAGGAACGCCCGUGGCGAAAGCGCGGUCCUGGACAUUUCCUGACACUGAGACGCGAAAGCUAGGGGAGCAAACGGGAUUAGAUACCCCGGUAGUCCUAGCCGUAAACGAUGGGCACUGGGUAGGAGGCUCGCCGAUGGGCUUCCUGCCGCAGCGAAAGCGUGAAGUGCCCCGCCUGGGGAGUAUGGUCGCAAGGCUG
rnacentral:rRNA from 1 species